rnacentral:rRNA from 1 species
AUUGAACGCUGGCGGCAGGCUUAACACAUGCAAGUCGAGCGGGGUGAUGGUGCUUGCACUAUCACUUAGCGGCGGACGGGUGAGUAAUGCUUAGGAAUCUGCCUAUUAGUGGGGGACAACAUCUCGAAAGGGAUGCUAAUACCGCAUACGUCCUACGGGAGAAAGCAGGGGAUCACUUGUGACCUUGCGCUAAUAGAUGAGCCUAAGUCGGAUUAGCUAGUUGGUGGGGUAAAGGCCUACCAAGGCGACGACCUGUAGCGGGUCUGAGAGGAUGUUCCGACACACUGGGACUGAUAGACGGCCCCGACUCCUACGGGAGGCAGCAGUGGGGAAUAUUGGACAAUGGGGGGAACCCUGAUCCAGCCAUGCCGCGUGUGUGAAGAAGGCCUUAUGGUUGUAAAGCACUUUAAGCGAGGAGGAGGCUCUUUUGGUUAAUACCCAAGAUGAGUGGACGUUACUCGCAGAAUAAGCACCGGCUAACUCUGUGCCAGCAGCCGCCGUAA